GACGUAGGGGCGCGAGCGUUGUCCGGAUUUAUUGGGCGUAAAGCGCGUGUAGGCGGCCAUGUAGGUCUGACGUGAAAUUCCGAGGCUCCAACCUCGGCAGGUCGUUGGAAACCAUAUGGCUAGAGUCCGGAAGAGGAGAGUGGAAUUCCGUGGUGUAGCGGUGAAAUGCGUAGAGAUGGGGAGAACACUCGUGGCGAAGGCGGCCAGCUAGACCGAGUUCUGACACUGAGGCGCGCAGCGUGGGGAGCAAACAGG
rnacentral:rRNA from 1 species